UACGAAGGGGGCUAGCGUUGUUCGGAAUUACUGGGCGUAAAGGGCGCGUAGGCAGUGUGUCAAGUCAGGCGUGAAAGCCCCGGGCUCAACCUGGGAACCGCGCUUGAGACUGGCACGCUCGAGUUCGGGAGAGGAUGGUGGAAUUCCCAGUGUAGAGGUGAAAUUCGUAGAUAUUGGGAAGAACACCUAUGGCGAAGGCAGUUCUCUGGGACGGUACUGACGCUGAGACGCGAAAGCGUGGGGAGCGAACAGG
rnacentral:rRNA from 1 species